rnacentral:rRNA from 1 species
AACGUAGGAGGCAAGCGUUAUCCGGAUUCACUGGGCGUAAAGCGCGUGCAGGUGGUGCGGUAAGUUAGGCGUGAAAUCUCCCGGCUCAACUGGGAGAGGUCGUCUAAUACUACCGUACUUGAGAGCAGAAGAGGAAGAUGGAAUUCCCGGUGUAGUGGUGAAAUGCGUAGAUAUCGGGAGGAACACCAGUGGCGAAGGCGAUCUUCUGGUCUGUUUCUGACACUCAGACGCGAACAGCUAGGGUAGUAAACGGG